UUGGAAGAGUUCUGUCAAGGCACAGAACUCUGACUCUCUGGAUGAUACCCACGCGUCCUCUCCUGGCCUCAGCAUUCUUGUUUUCUCGUCUCCUGCAAGCGCAUGAAAAACAGCAGCCAGGGGAAAGGGAAUUCAGCACUAGUGGUUUUCGGUUGUCCAGAAUGAGAGUCCACACAGGAAAGUCUGUGUGAAGGAAGCACGUCUGUCCAUUCAUUAAUUCUUGUCCUUUGUUUCAUUAUCGUUCAUUUAGUCAACAAAUAUUCAUUGGACACUGUGGUAGGCAAACUAAUGACCUCCAAAGGACACCCACGCUGUGAAACCCUGGGAUUUAUGAGCACGUCAGGUUAUGUGGGGAAGGGGAAUUGGGGAAUUAAAGUUGUAGACGGAAUGAAGGAUGCUGAUCAGCAGACCUUAAGAAGGAAGAUAAUCCAGGAUUAUCUUGGUGGGCCCAGUGUGAUCACGAGGGUCCUUAAAAGUGUGUCUAUAUCCUGCCAGUGUGUGAGCUGGGAGCGGCCAGUGAGGGCGGUGGGCCUCGCCCUCCUUGUGCUCCUUCAUCCUGGGCUGCUUCUUGGCCUGGUGGUCUCAGGUUGAGGUGGGGAAGCUGGAGGCCGUGAGACAUCUUGGUCCUGGGCUUGGCAGCUCGCAUGAUGUCACUUCCACCACAGUCUGUCGGUCAAAGCACAUCACGAGACCAGCCCAGAUGCACCAGGUGAGGAGGAAUGCCAGAAACUGGUGGCCAUUUGUAACCUACCACGUGGGUUUUGAAGAGGGCAGCCUCUAGAAAGGCCUGAAGAUAAACAUCCAGGGGAGACAACUGUAUCUAUUCAGUUUUGCUGGGCUCAUCACAGACAGAGAACAACAGGGUAAUCAAUUCUCUGUAAGAAGCUGCAGUGGCACCACCAUACGCAAGGCUGGAGGAGGACUCGGCUUCAGAGGCUCAGGGGACAGUGAUGGAUAACCAUCUCCCAGGAAACUGGCCAGGAUGCCAGCAGCCACUGGCUCCAACAGAACCAGCCAGAGUGCAGACCACAGGGCAGGUAGGUUUUAAGGCUGCAGCUUGAAGAGCUUGGAAGAUACACUGGCAAAUAAUUAGUCUCGGUUCUUGCAAAGUUCCAUGUCCAUGUGAAAACUCCCGAUUCAGGUUGACUUGUUCAGUAACUUCUUUCAUCCCAUUGCAAGACUGCAGGUCCUUUAAAGGCAGCACUGCCAUAACCCACUUUAACCAAGACCAUGUCUCCUGGGCUUUAGAUACUAUGAACUUGAGAUAUUUCCACUCUUGUCUGACUUCACCCCUUGCCUUGUAUCCCAGGGUCUCCCUGGUCGUCUAUUUCCAGUAGACUCAAUGACCCACUGGUCCCUUUGUCUUAAUUUGGCUUCUCCACGAGAACCUGCCUGCAGGAACCUUUUGCUCCCUCUUGGAUUUGCAGGUCUCACAUUAAGGGCAGAUACUCUACUGAAGCUUCUUUUGCACACACGGUGCCACUCUCCUGAGAAGAUGCAUCUGACAAGAACCACUUUGCAGUUUCUCACUUGAGCCUUCUGCUGGCCGAAGGCUCCAGCCCUGGGGGUAAAAGACAUUCACAUCUACAGUGCCCCCUGCAGGGGAAAGACAAGCUCUCUCAGAUGUUUGGAACCAAGGGUUAAGCUUACAUAUUUCCCGACCCCUGCUUCAUGGCUAACCUCCCAACCCCAACAUGAUUCCAAGAGAAUAAUUUGCUUAUUGAGCGUGAGAGUGCCUUGUGAGUUUGGAGUGGUCACAGCACCUCACGGUCUCUCGCCCUGCUCUCUUCCCUCCCUGUCUCAGCUCCAGAGCUCCUUCCGACGUCACAUUCACAUACAUUAGCUGCAGCUCCUUGAUGGCUGGGAAUGGGCUGGAGGGGGUGGGCUCUCAGGGUUUGGGCUGAAAGCAUGUCUGCGGGAAAGUGAGCUAACUCUGCAACGGCCUCCAGGGAAGGGAGUCACCCCAGGGGAGAAGGCGGGGAGAAGCCAGGAGGGAAGGGCACUCUGCUGCAAGACCUCCCGGCCCCUUGUGGAGGCUCUCUGGGCGUGGUCUUUCAGGUGGUCACUGCCAGGGGGCAGGCAGACACACCUCACCUAAUCACAAAGUAUUUUCCUAAUAGGAUAGCCACAUUAAUGUGGCCAAUAUUUUUGUUCCUCAUUGUUAUUUUUCAAAAUUUACAAUGAAGAUAAUAAUAUUGUCCCAGAUUAAUUUUCCUCAUAGAACCUCACAGAACUUUUUCAUGAACUUUCACAGGACUUCAAAAAAAAGUGCUGUGGUUUGAAAAACUAGGUGAAUUAUGGAAUAUUCUUAAUUUGUUUUAAAUCUUGUAGAUGGCACUUUGGGCAUUGCUGACAUACGUGGCUCAUGUGGCAAUUUCUGUCUGUUUCUGAUCUGUCCCUCCCGCCAACACCCUUAAUUGUGUAACCCUGGAAGGCUCGUGCGUUUACUCCAGAGCUUCUAAAGCUGAGCACACUUGGUAUUUAUAGAUCAUACUGUUUA